UACGUAGGGGGCAAGCGUUGUCCGGAUUUAUUGGGCGUAAAGAGCGUGUAGGCGGCCAAGCAGGUCAGCUGUGAAAACUCGAGGCUCAACCUCGAGACGUCGGUUGAAACCGCUUGGCUAGAGUCCGGAAGAGGAGAGUGGAAUUCCCGGUGUAGCGAUGAAAUGCGCAGAUAUCGGGAAGAACACCCGUGGCGAAGGCGGCUCUCUGGGACGGUACUGACGCUGAGACGCGAAAGCGUGGGGAGCGAACAGG
rnacentral:rRNA from 1 species